rfam:Schistosoma margrebowiei strain Zambia genome assembly, scaffold: SMRZ_contig0003174
GCACUCCCGAGGAGUCCCACAAUAGGACGAAACGGCCGUCCAGUAU